GCCGGGUGCGGUGGUGAGUGCCUGUAGUCCCAGCUACCUGGUAGGUUGAGGUGGGAAGAUCGCUUGAGCCCAGGAAUUCUGGGCUGUAGUGUGUUAUGCCGAUCAGGUGUCCGCACUAAGUUCAGCAUCAAUAUGGUGACCUCCCAGGAGCCGGGGACCACCAGGUUGCCUAAGGAGGGGUGAACCACCCCAGGUCGGAAACGGAGCAGGUCAAAACUCCUGUGCUGAUCAGUAGUGAGAUCGUGCCUGUGAAUAGUCACUGCACUCCAGCCUGGGCAACAUAGCGAGACCCCGUCUCU
rnacentral:SRP_RNA from 1 species